rnacentral:rRNA from 1 species
AACGAACGCUGGCGGCAGGCUUAACACAUGCAAGUCGAGCGCCCCGCCAGGGGAGCGGCUGACUGGUGGGUAACGCGUGGGGACGUACCUUUGGGUUCGGAACAACUCCGUUAAACUGGGGCUAAUACCGGAUAAGCCCUAACGGGGAAAGGUUUAUCGCCGACGGAUCGGCCCGCGGCUGAUUAGCUGGGUGGUGAGGUAACGGCUCAUCAAGGCGACGAUCAGGAGCUUGUGUGAGAGGAUGAUCAGCGACACUGGCAGUGGGACACGGCCCGGACUCCUACGGGAGGCAGCCGUGGGGGAUAUAGCACAACGGGCGGAGUGAUGAUGCAGCCAGGCCGGGUAAGUGAUGAAGGCCGUAGGGUUGUAAAGCUCUUUUGUCCGGGAAUAUAAUGACGGUACCGAAAGAAUAAGCCCCGGCUAACUUCGUG